GUUUAGUGGCAAACGGGUGAGUAAUGCAUGGGUAACGUUCCCUAAAGACCGGGACAACCGCCCGAAAGGGUGGCUAAUACCGGAUGUGGUCAUGAGGACCCAAGUCCUCGUGAUUAAAUGAUGGCCUCUACUUGUAAGCUAUCGCUUUAGAAUCGGCCCAUGUCCCAUCAGCUAGUUGGUAGGGUAAUGGCCUACCAAGGCUGCUACGGGUAGCCGGUCUGAGAGGAUGUUCGGCCACACUGGAACUGCGACACGGUCCAGACUCCUAAGCAAGCCAACAGUAAGGAAUUUCCACAAUGGGCCAAGCUGAUGGAGCAACGCGCUGAGGAAUGACGGCUCGGGAGGUAACUCUUCGGUAGGAACAAUGGUAAUGCGUGAAUAACGCCGUUAUUUGAUGGUACCUAAAGAAGAAGCUUCGGCUAACUCUGUGCAGCAGCGCGGUAAUACAGAGGAAGCUAACGUGUCCGGAUUUACUGGGCGUAAAGGGUUGUAGGCGGCCAAAUUAGUCAGUUGUGAAAUCGCUCCGCUCAACGGAGCAAUUGCUUCUGAUACUGUUUGGCUUGAGUGCAGGAAGGGUAAAUGGAAUUUCCGGUGUAGCGGUGGAAUGCGUAGAUAUCGGAAAGAACACCAGUGGCGAAGGCGGUUUACUGGCCUGCAACUGACGCUGAAAAACGAAAGCCAGGGGAGCAAACGGGAUUAGAUACCCCGGUAGUCCUGGCUGUAAACGGUGCAUAUUAGUGCAAGUGAUUCAUUUCAUUUGUGCCGACGCUAACGCAUUAAAUAUGCCGCCUGGGAACUACGGCCGCAAGGUUGAAACUCAAAGAAAUUGACGGGGGUCCGCACAAGUGGUGGAGCAUGUGGUUUAAUUCGACGCACGCGAAGAACCUUACCUAGGCUUGACAUGCAUGUGCAAUCUCUAUGAAAGUAGAGCCCCUGCCCGAAAGGGUAGCACAUGCACAGGUGUUGCAUGGCUGUCGUCAGCUCGUGCCGUGAGUGUUGGGUUAAGUCCUCUAACGAGCGCAACCCCUAUGCCUAGUUGCCAGCGGGUAAUGCCGGGAACUCUAGCGAGACUGCCUGGAAUACCAGGAGGAAGGCGGGGACGACGUCAAGUCAUCAUGGCCUUAUGUCUAGGCUUACACACGUGCGACAAUGGCAGGUACAGCGGGUUGCAAGACCGUGAGGUGGAGCUAAUCCCUAAAAACCUGUCCCAGUUCGGAUUGGAGUCUGCAACUCGACUCCAUGAAGCCGGAAUCACUAGUAAUCGUGGAUCAGCUACGCCACGGUGAAUACGUUCCCGGGCCUUGUACACACCGCCCGUCACGCCACGAAAGUUGUUUGUACCAGAAGACGCCGAUCCAACCGCAAGGAGGUAGGUGGCCAAGGUAUGAGCGAUGAUUGGGGCGAAGUCGUAACAAGGUAACC
rnacentral:rRNA from 1 species